AAGAGAUAUGAAAAAUCUAGGUAAUCUAUUUGAGAAGAGUAGAUCGGGUAGAGAGAAGUGGGUCUAAGUGUUAGGGAGCAACUAUGGUAGUUUUGGUGGUUUUUAAACAUGGAAGAAGAUGACCCUAUUUAAAAUAAAAAUAAAAAUAAACUAAAAAAUUAACAUUUGAUACAAAAAUUAUCAUGUUCACACGCUUCAUUUGAUGGUAAUGAUACGCACGGACCACGUGGGCAAAGUGGUGUGUCUUAGACAUACUCUAUAAAGGUCGGGUGUGUAAAAGGUUGUAUGUGAUGGAGAGGUGUGUAACAGGGAUUUGGGUGCAAGGUCAAUGGGUAAACUAUGUAUUUUGCCUUUUUUCGAUGAUGUCCAGAUCAGCUUGCGCACACCUGAAUUAUUCCGGACGUUAUCUACAUGCUCAUUAAAAUAGGAAUCAAAAAACUAAUCACCUAAUAGUAAAUUCUUUUACCGUAUUGGGAUUUGAACCCCGAUUACCAAGGUUUGCUUUCAUUGAUCACUAAGUCACCUCCUUAGGUAUCGCUAAAAUCAAAAGAUUGUUUCAGUUUGUGAUAAGCUAGCAUCAUCCAUCCACACUGGUGUACUAUACAUUAGAGACUUACACCAAGAUUUGAACUUUACUGGUUCGAGAUUCUACUCUUUUAAGUUGCUGAAUUUUAAAUUAAUCAUUUGUAUCUUUUUGGGAAAUUAUGCACAAUUAAAUGUUGGAUAUAGUUACUUCUGCUCGGAGAGAUAGAGAGAAAGAGAGAGAAGAGCACUUGUGCUUGAAAAAUGAAUAAAUCUUCCCAUUAGAACUUCUAUUGUUAGCUCACUCCAUCUAAAUGUAAUUGCUGAAUUUUUGUAUUUGGUGUACGAACUAGCUCACAAGCACCUCAAAUAUUCUAACGAGUAUGUACUUUCUUAUACAAAUGAAUGAAAUGACCUAACACCUCAACCAUACCAUUGAGUAUGUCUUUAUCUUCCACCAACACAAAUAUCAGCCAACUCUAUCGACCCAAGCUUAGACCGAUGAAAAAACAUCACCAACCCUCUACAAGAAUUUGAAAUCCAGGGCCCAACAACUGCACCUACUUCAUUAACACCCUUUGGUGCUAGUUUGCUCUUCUUACAUCCUUCUUCACUUACUCUCUCCUUAAUUUACGCACUGAAAUGGAAAGAAAACCGAAUUGAUAAUGGAUUGAAAGAGAACAGAGGAGGUCUAGAAUGGAGGCAAUCAGAAGCUCCAAAAAGGUCUCAAGAUUCUUACUGCUAGAAAAACUAUCUGUUUAAUUUGACACAUUUUAUUGGUCAUGCAGCAGCAGACGAAACACCACCCCUUGCACAUCUCCAGGCUCAGUGAAAUUAGAUACAACUCCAAUUCAUGACCUUGUUUAAAUAGAAGCCAACAUUCAAUCUAGGUACAUAAGUCUAUACCAUCCUGGCAAAAAGUCCUCAUUUCUUCUUUCAUGAAAAUUGGUGCGUAAUGCAGUUUCCCAGAUGAAGAUAUGAACUACACACCUAGAUAUCUGAUGUGUUUAAC
rnacentral:lncRNA from 1 species